rnacentral:rRNA from 1 species
CAAGUUAGUAGUGAAAGCGUGAGGCUCAACCUCAUAUCCAUUACUAAAACUGCUAAGCUUGAGUAUAAGAGAGGUAGCUGGAAUUUCUAGUGUAGGAGUGAAAUCCGUAGAUAUUAGAAGGAACACCGAUGGCGUAGGCAGGCUACUGGCUUAUUACUGACACUAAGGCACGAAAGCGUGGGGAGCGAACGGGAUUAGAUACCCCGGUAGUCCACGCCGUAAACUAUGCUUGCUG